rnacentral:rRNA from 1 species
AUUACCGCGGCUGCUGGCACAGAGUUAGCCGGUGCUUAUUCUGCAGCUAAUGUCAUCGCUAACGGGUAUUAACCGUUAGGUCUUCUUCACUGCUUAAAGUGCUUUACAACCAAAAGGCCUUCUUCACACACGCGGCAUGGCUGGAUCAGGGUUGCCCCCAUUGUCCAAUAUUCCCCACUGCUGCCUCCCGUAGG